GGUCCGGGAGAGGCCCGCGGACACGCGGGAACCGAAGGGGCAACAGCCGUUGGCUGCAAACUCUCAGGUAAAAGUACCGGGCGC
rnacentral:ncRNA from 1 species